UGGUGGUAACAGCUGGACUAGGACUGGCUGCCAUCGGAUGCACAGCAGGAGUCAUUACUCUUUCGUUGCUGCCAAACGAUAAAGAAACAGGCACAUCAAACAAUGAAACCCCUAAGGCGCCCGAAGGCAAAUGACGGACCUUGAUGACGGACCUUGAUGACGGGCCUUGAUGACGGGCCUUGAUGACGGGCCUUGAUGACGGGCCUUGAUGACGGGCCUUGAUGACGGGCCUUGAUGACGGGCCUUGAUGACGGACCUUGACGACGGACCACACAGACCACGCGGACUUGAAAUGACGGAAUUGCAGACGCACCUUCUAAGGGGCGGUCUGCGUGGUUAAUUGAAAAGUAAGCCGACAAGUGUAGAAGGGCCUAUUUGCAAUUUCUGGAAUUAUCUAACAGCUUUGAUGGCAUUUUCUAUGAAUAAAAAUGAGGUGUUUCGUACCACA